rnacentral:rRNA from 1 species
GAUGAACGCUGGCGGCGUGCCUAAUACAUGCCAGUCGAGCGAACGGACGAGAAGCUUGCUUCUCUGAUGUUAGCGGCGGACGGGUGAGUAACACGUGGAUAACCUAUCUAUAAGACUGGGAUAACUUCGGGAAACCGGAGCUAAUACCGGAUAAUAUUUUGAACCGCAUGGUUCAAAAGUGAAAGACGGUCUUGCUGUCACUUAUAGAUGGAUCCGCGCUGCAUUAGCUAGUUGGUAAGGUAACGGCUUACCAAGGCAACGAUGCAUAGCCGACCUGAGAGGGUGAUCGGCCACACUGGAACUGAGACACGGUCCAGACUCCUACGGGAGGCAGCAGUAGGGAAUCUUCCGCAAUGGGCGAAAGCCUGACGGAGCAACGCCGCGUGAGUGAUGAAGGUCUUCGGAUCGUAAAACUCUGUUAUUAGGGAAGAACAUAUGUGUAAGUAACUGUGCACAUCUUGACGGUACCUAAUCAGAAAGCCACGGCUAACUACGUG